UACGUAGGGCGCAAGCGUUGUCCGGAAUUAUUGGGCGUAAAGAGCUCGUAGGCGGUUUGUUGCGUCGGCUGUGAAAUCCCGAGGCUCAACCUCGGGUCUGCAGUCGAUACGAGCAAACUAGAGUGUUGCAGGGGAGACUGGAAUUCCUGGUGUAGCGGUGAAAUGCGCAGAUAUCAGGAGGAACACCGGUGGCGAAGGCGGGUCUCUGGGCCGAUACUGACGCUGAGGAGCGAAAGCAUGGGUAGCGAACAGG
rnacentral:rRNA from 1 species